UACGUAGGGGGCUAGCGUUGUCCGGAUUUAGUGGGCGUAAAGAGCGUGUAGGCGGCCAUGUAGGUCCGGUGUGAAAACUCGAGGCUUAACCUCGAGAUGUCAUCGGAAACCAUUUGGCUAGAGUCCGGAAGAGGAGAGUGGAAUUCCUGGUGUAGCGGUGAAAUGCGCAGAUAUCAGGAAGAACACCCGUGGCGAAGGCGGCUCUCUGGGACGGUACUGACGCUGAGACGCGAAAGCGUGGGGAGCGAACAGG
rnacentral:rRNA from 1 species